CUACUACAGAAGAGUUCCAUACUAGGACGAAACGACCGUUCAGUAC
rnacentral:hammerhead_ribozyme from 1 species